rnacentral:lncRNA from 1 species
GCGGAGAUGACAAAAUGGUUGAUGGAGGCAGUGCACUGAAGGUGUUUGAUGAAUUAUUUGGUGCGGGUUUGGAAGUGUAUAGGUAGAUUCUCUAACUCAGACGACCUUCCAAGGGGAAAGGAACCUAGAGGAUAAGUGUGCUAAUAAGACACAAGUCAGUGAACUUGAAGAAGAAGUGGCUGGUUGCAAUCCAACAACAUUUCACUAUAUUCAUUCAAGUUAAGUUUUACAAUGGAUUGAAGCUCUCUUUUAUAGAUGAAGAGGAGCUUGAAAAUGUAAAUGAGUCCUCUUUGCCUCCUUUGUUCUUCCUUGCUUGGCAACAUUCCUAGGAUGUGUAGGCAUUCUUUCCAUCCUUUAUUAGUUUCCUACAAAGCAAUGUAAAUGAAUGUAUUUAGUUAAAGAGAGCCUGCUAAGACUUAGAAAGAAAAGAUCAAGUUCUUAUUCAACUUCCCUUUCUUAGUCUUAGUGUUAAGUUGAUACUUCUUUGGAUGGGAAGUCCCUUAAGGGGUUGCCAUCAGUAAUAUCACAUACAACAUCCAAAAAAGCUAAUAAUCAAUUUUCAUAAAUUUCAACACUUCCCAACAACUAUAACAACUUUAUUCAAUUUCCACCAUUUAUUCAAAACACAAUAAUUAAAACCUAAUAAUUGCUACCAAUCACCUAAAACUUAAGGAUUGAAGUACUUAAUUUUGACAUAAUAAUUCAAAACACAAUAAUAGUUGAAAUACCAUUAUUUUUAUACUUAAUUUUGACAUUAAACAC